GAGGUAUUUUUGCUAAUCCCACUCCACUUUCCAGUGUCUCCCUAUUCUUUCUCCGCUCCCUCGUCCUGUUCUACGCCUCCGCCGACGCCACGACCGGUGCUACCCGCAGACCGGUUUUCUACCCAAUCAGUUCAUGAGCUUAUUACCAACCAAAUUAGAUAAGAAUUAAUGGCACAUCUUCAUCAACCUUACGAUUCUUAUUACCAGCUACAGCCACCACCACCAGCAGCAGCUGACCGGAACGGAAUUAACACACUGUUCGUCUCCGGACUUCCCGACGAUGUCAAGCCUCGUGAGAUUCAUAAUCUCUUUCGCCGACGCCCCGGCUUCGAUUCUUGCCAGCUCAAGUAUACCGGCCGCGGCAACCAGGUCGUUGCAUUUGCUACCUUCUUUAAUCACCAAUCGGCAAUUGCAGCUUUGCACUCUUUAAAUGGAGUAAAAUUUGAUCCUCAAACUGGAUCCACUCUGCAUAUAGAGCUUGCUAGAACAAAUUCAAGGAGGAAACAUAAACCAGGGAGUGGAGCCUAUGUGGUUAUUGAUAAACGAACCAAAAUGGCCUCUAAUGCCCAAGAAACAUCAAGUGAUGAUGGAGGCAGUGACUCUAAUGAUGCACAUGCAACUGACAAUGCUGCUUCUGCCAACCAGGGUGAUUUAGGGAGUGUAAAGAGUGAGGCAGCUGGUGAGCCUGAAAAUGUUGUGGUAGCUGCAAAUGAGCAGUCAGAAAAGACUGUGGAAGGAGGUGUCAAUCCUUGUUCCACAUUGUUUAUUGCAAAUCUAGGGCCAAAUUGCACUGAAGAUGAACUGAAGCAAAGUCUUUCACAAUAUCCAGGAUUCAAUGUGCUCAAAAUGCGUGCUAAAGGUGGAAUGCCAGUUGCAUUUGCUGAUUUUGAGGAAGUUGAACAAGCAAAGAAAGUCAUGGAGGACCUUCAAGGAACCUUGUUACCAUCAUCGGACCGAGGUGGCAUGCACAUAGAAUAUGCGAGGUCCAAAAUGAGGAAGUCCUAGCAGAGGGGAAUGUGACAACGAUUUUCUGUCCUGCCUGCAGGCUUUGGUUCUUUCUUAUACUUAGCGCAACAAUGUUUAGUAGUAUUGCUUCAGUUUU
rnacentral:misc_RNA from 1 species